rnacentral:lncRNA from 1 species
GUGGCCUUCAAGCUGAUGCCCAUGUGCCCAGGGUACAGAGGGGCAAACCGUGGAAAAGAAUUUGGCCAGAUCAUCAGGGCCACGGCGCCAGGCCUGACACAGAUAAGGCCCCGGGCCACGCUGACCUGGUGUUACAGGAAAUGAUACUGGAGUUGAAAUACGAAGUGUUGUAUCUCCCAACCUGCUAACUAUACCAUAGAAAUGGAAGAACAAGUCCUAGGGAUGACGGAGGUUAAGAGUUAGACCUUUAUUGAUAGGACAGCUCCUGAGGGGCAGCAGGGGACCCGAGUGGGUAGCUGGAGACCCCAAUCCGUAAGGGAGUUUUAUAGGGUGAAACCCACAUGGGCCACGCCAUGAGCACCCAAUAAAGUUACAAGCGUAGUCACCUAGGUAACGGUGUCCAAUUGGGAAGCAAGUCAUGAACCAAGGGUGGAUGGAGAGAACAAGGAUUCUCCUAGGGGACAGUGGGUCUAGAGGUCUCGUCACGCCCAGGGCGGCCGAUGUCGUCUAGGCUUCGUUAGGCCCAGGUUGGUCCUUUGAGGAAGUGUGCAGGUCUGGUCAUUGAGUCUUUAUCCUGAGGCCCGAGUUUGGUUCUCAGCCCAGGUGUCUCUGGUGCUGCUGUGGUGUUUCGCCUUUGUCUUGUCCUGACCGUCUGAGGACCCAGCCCUAUCUGAUGCCUGUGAUGUUCCUGCCUGACUCAUCUGCCCAUAAUACUGGGGCCUCACAUCAGGAGAUGGACGGGUGUCGGAGGACACUGGGGACGCAGCUGUGGGCCUUUUCAGGGAUUCCACGGAUGCUGCCACGCGCCCCCCGGUGGCGCUGGGCUCUCACUGCGGCAGACGCUGUGCUCGCCUGCACAACCAGGAGGGGCCAGGUCAGUGGGCGGCACAACAGGAAGGAGAGAUGGUGCUGGGGGCCUGCGCCUGGCCAGCAGGCGGUGGCCAGGAGGCAUGAGGUGAGGCCUGAGGGUGUGUCCUUUAGGGCAGGGAUCAGCUAGCACCUCCCUUGGGCUCCACCCUCCCUGCAGCUCAGAGCCAGGCCAGGGGGCAGCUCAGGGACAGCGGCAGGCAAGAAGAGGCUGGUCUCCGAGGCUGAGUGGCCAAGUGGGCCUGUCCCUGGGACACCCCUACACAGGCAGCAGCCCAGCCCUGGAGGGUGGGAGCACUGAGGGCACUGCAAGUCCCACAUCCCUAAGAUUCAGAGAAGGACCCUAGUCACUAGGUUAACAGUUGGGUGAUUUUCCAGUUCUGCUUACAGGGCAGGGUUUGUGAGGAAUGUGGAAUUCAUUUAAUCUAAUCAAGAUUCCAGCCAAGAGUUCCAGCCCCAACUUGCUCUCUGAAAUCCACUGGUUUCCUGAAAUCCUUUUUCUGAGCCCAGCGGGCCUGUCAACACCACCAGAUUCUUCACCUGCUUCCCCUCUAGGACCCCCAGGUGGAACCCGAUGGUCCCAGGAAGCCGCCUCUGGCAGGACUGAUCACUAGUAAUCUCAAAUCCGCAAAGCCAAGAUCAGGGCCUGGGGACCAGCCCUGAGGCAGCCCCCUGCAGACAGGCAGAGGUCAGGGCUGCCAUGUGUCCCCUGCUAAAGAAAAAGUGUGCAUGACACUUGCUAAAGAUGCCAAAGCAAAGCCAGGCCGGGUGGUAUUACUGGGAUUUGAGGUGCUGGAGGCUUCUCCUAGAGGUGGUUUCUGGGUUCUUUCUGUUCUGAGCAAAGAACCAGUUGGUCAACAGAAGCGAAAAAGGUAAGGAGGUUUUACACUUAGUAAAGAUAAGAAAAGAAACAGGCUUGGCAGAGUGAGUUUGGGCCAAUAAAAGGAGGAAAAGUACACUGCACACUGUGGGAGCAGCGGCACAGAGCGCUGGGUGACCCCUCUGUAUCUCCCGUCCUCAGGCUGGGUCAGGUCCAGGUCCCCUUUGGAAACCUGCUCAGUUCUCUGGGAGGAACUAGAGACGGUGCCCUCUGACGGGUGCACAGCAGGGCUAGGGGAGCUCUGUGAAUGUGUCCGGGGACUUUGUACUUGGAGGCCACAUCCAGCUCUGCCCUGCCCUGGGCUCCUGCCUCGGUGGAGCACAUCUGUAAUCCCAACACUUGGGAGGCUGAGGCAGGAGCAAUGAGAGUUCCUGGCCAAUCUGGGCUACAUAGUGAGACCCUGUCUCUAAAAUAGAUAGGAGGGGGUUGGGGCAGACUUUGUCCAAGGGGGCCACUCUCAGGAAGACUUGGCCACAGAAGAGAGAGAUGGCACUCCGUGCCGAAUCCACAAGAACAAGCUGGGUGGCCAUGGUGGGAUCACUGGGAAUAGCACAGGUAGCACUGAGAGGCCUCGGCCCUCCAUCUGAGAGAGGAGACCACUUCCAUAUGGAAUUGGGCAGCUGUGGGUUAAGGAGGCAACUGUGCUCUUUGUAGAAUGCACCUGAGCAGCCAUGACAACUCCUGUAACCUAUCCGCAAAGGAGCGUGAUGGACUCAGGAAGUCCUGCUAGAGCUCUUUGCUCUCCCCUCCCACUGCUCUGCUGUGUAAAUCCUGCUUGCUCUAUUCCCAGGGAAACUCCAAUGGAAUUAAGCGUCAUAGAUGGGGAAAAACGGUAUAUAAGGAAACAAAACUUCUCUUCGGGGCUCUCAAGACUGACAGGAGUCACUCACUGAAGCGCCGGCAUCGUCAAGAGCCGCUUUUGCUCCUGUCUUCCUGUUAAAGAGUUACCUGUGCUGGGGCCCUGUUUCCUGCUUCACGUCCACCUCAAUCUGGGCAGCACCCCAGGCCAAGCGGAGGAGAAACAGAAAUAAAAGUAACAAAGACUCAGGAAAUCUCUGAAGUGCCAGGCCAAAGCACCUGUGCUAGAUCCUGUAGCCCAGCCUUCACUUUCCCCCACUCAAAGGAGUUGCAGGUUGUCAGAGCUCUCUGGCAGUCAUUUCUGGCAAUCGCCCAGAGAUCCAUUGACAGGCCUCGGGGUAGGGUGCAUGUCUUACAAAGUCUGAAAACCUGGUUUAUCUUGGCUCUUCCUAACCCUCCGCAGCCCGGUACAUCUUUCCAGUUCUGUCACACUCCUUUCUGCUGGCAUGGACCCAAGAACUUUCCACCGUUAACUGUAAUAAAUGUAGCCACUUUUUCUUUGACCACUGGGUGUGUGUUUGCAAUUCUUUCCUCACCAGACACAAGGGCCUGGAGUCUAUCACCGGAUCAGGAGGAGCCAUCAAGGCUAGGGACUGGCUGAGCCGACCUGACACAUCCUUGAAGGAUCAGGUCAGCAUGGUGGGCUCUUGGGGGGGGGGGGAAUCUGUCAGCUGUGGGGGAAUCAGAAAAACUGAACUACGAGGGCCGAGGAUG